rnacentral:tRNA from 1 species
UCCCGAAUAGCUCAGCUGGUUAGAGCAUCUGACUGUUAAUCAGAGGGUCGCUGGUUAUUUCCUUCGGGCU